UCCAGGAAGAGCCUAAAUAUCCUAAAAGUACCCAUUCUGCUUGGUUGUGGAAGCUAAGCAAGAUCAGUCCCUGUUAUUACUUGGGUGGGAGACCACCAACAAAUACCAGGUGCUGCAGGAU
rnacentral:rRNA from 11 species